GCUGUAGCUCAGUGGUAUAGCAUGUGCCUAUCAAGCGUGAGGCCCUGGGUUUGAUCCACAGCAAUGCA
rnacentral:tRNA from 1 species